rnacentral:rRNA from 1 species
GGCGGCUUACCAUGCAGUCGAACGCCCCGCAAGGGGAGUGGCAGACGGGUGAGUAACGCGUGGGAACAUACCCUUUCCUGCGGAAUAGCUCCGGGAAACUGGAAUUAAUACCGCAUACGCCCUACGGGGGAAAGAUUUAUCGGGGAAGGAUUGGCCCGCGUUGGAUUAGCUAGUUGGUGGGGUAAAGGCCUACCAAGGCGACGAUCCAUAGCUGGUCUGAGAGGAUGAUCAGCCACAUUGGGACUGAGACACGGCCCAAACUCCUACGGGAGGCAGCAGUGGGGAAUAUUGGACAAUGGGCGCAAGCCUGAUCCAGCCAUGCCGCGUGAGUGAUGAAGGCCUUAGGGUUGUAAAGCUCUUUCACCGGAGAAGAUAAUGACGGUAUCCGGAGAAGAAGCCCCGGCUAACUUCGUGCCAGCAGCCGCGGUAAUACGAAGGGGGCUAGCGUUGUUCGGAAUUACUGGGCGUAAAGCGCACGUAGGCGGAUAUUUAAGUCAGGGGUGAAAUCCCAGAGCUCAACUCUGGAACUGCCUUUGAUACUGGGUAUCUUGAGUAUGGAAGAGGUAAGUGGAAU